rnacentral:rRNA from 1 species
UGCAAGUCGAGCGGACAGAAGGGAGCUUGCUCCCGGAUGUUAGCGGCGGACGGGUGAGUAACACGUGGGUAACCUGCCUGUAAGACUGGGAUAACUCCGGGAAACCGGAGCUAAUACCGGAUAGUUCCUUGAACCGCAUGGUUCAAGGAUGAAAGACGGUUUCGGCUGUCACUUACAGAUGGACCCGCGGCGCAUUAGCUAGUUGGUGGGGUAAUGGCUCACCAAGGCGACGAUGCGUAGCCGACCUGAGAGGGUGAUCGGCCACACUGGGACUGAGACACGGCCCAGACUCCUACGGGAGGCAGCAGUAGGGAAUCUUCCGCAAUGGACGAAAGUCUGACGGAGCAACGCCGCGUGAGUGAUGAAGGUUUUCGGAUCGUAAAGCUCUGUUGUUAGGGAAGAACAAGUGCGAGAGUAACUGCUCGCACCUUGACGGUACCUAACCAGAAAGCCACGGCUAACUACGUGCCAGCAGCCGCGGUAAUACGUAGGUGGCAAGCGUUGUCCGGAAUUAUUGGGCGUAAAGGGCUCGCAGGCGGUUUCUUAAGUCUGAUGUGAAAGCCCCCGGCUCAACCGGGGAGGGUCAUUGGAAACUGGGAAACUUGAGUGCAGAAGAGGAGAGUGGAAUUCCACGUGUAGCGGUGAAAUGCGU